GAAGAGCGGAGGACGGAGAGAGGAGGCAGAGGGAGACUCUCUACUGGGCUCCACCGGCUGAAAAAUACCCCGCCGUCCUCAGCCCAUCUGUUCCUGCUUGGCCUCUCAGGCUCUCCAUCAGUUCUCACAACCCCCGGCAAACAACCCCUUUCUCAUCCUUCCCCUUGACCUCCAUCAAACCACCAAACUCGACUUUCUCCCCAUCACCCCG